rnacentral:lncRNA from 1 species
AAUGUAGAAUUUGUUCGGAGAAACUAUUCAGUUGGAUUACAAUGUAAUUCGAUCCUUCUCUAAAACAAUACUCUCAAUCACAUUACUAAGGUAUGGAUAUAUUAUAUCAAACCCCUAAUGUGAUUAUUCCUUCUUAUAUGAUUCAUUUGAGUCGUAUAGGAACGCUUUCCUUUAUUACGCUCGAUACUUCGGUAGAAGAUUCCCGAAUCAUAUCUUAGAGUAUUCAACCUCUCAUAACGAGGAUUAGAGAUCCCUUGUUGCGCAUUCACUUGCCUCCAUGGCUAAGUGGCUUAACCCCAACUAUGCCGUGGACACCCGCGGAUGGAGUGACUUUGACAUAAUCAAAGAUCAAGGACCUAACCACAAGACAACUAUGAUGCCUCAGGUCAAAGGA